CAGCUCAGGGCCCGAGCCCAUCCCCUAACCAAGGCUGCCCACUGCAGCGUCCCUGCGCCAGGGGACCCCAGCAAAACGCAAGCCCCAGUGCCCAGCCCCAGGCCCCAAGGGGGACACGGGGGCUCCAUGCGCCUGCCUGGGGCUCGGAGGCGCAGACGAAGCUGCCUGGUGGGGACACGUUCGGGGCCACCUCCCAUCGCUGCAGUGGGGACGUGCUUGGGGCCACCUCCAGCAGCUCGGGGGCUGCUCAGCCUCCCCCCCUCCCUGUAAGCACAUCCAAACCCAAAGCCAACAACCACGAUGCUGCCCCCGAACUUCAACCCCUGGUCCAAAAUAUCAGAAGCUAAGCCAGGGAACAAACCCGACGUUGUACAACCCACCGAUAAGAAAACCUGUUAUUAGCUCAACCCUUUAAUCCUCCCCCAAUUCCAAUAACCGCAUUUUUCACAGCUGCUCAGGCUCCUGGUGCCGGUCUUCAUACCUCCGAGGCGUCUCUGUGCUGCUCAACAUGGCAGCAAAAAUGAGCUGGCCUGCAGCAGCAGCAGCACAUUUAGCUGAAUAAUUAUCUUAAUUAAUAACAGAGGGCCCAGGUGGGCACCCAGCCCAUCCGAACACCAAGCCAGAGGACCCGGCUCCUCGCAGCAGGGCAGCCCCAGCCCCUGCCACCGCCCUGCAGCAGGGGAUGGAGCAACAUCUGGAACAUCCUUAUCUAUCAGGAGAGAGACACAAAGACUGCGUCGUGCUCAGGUGUGCAGUGGGACAAGGAACUUGCCAGGAGGAAGACCCAAAGACCAGCUUUGAGUCCAAGUGCACUGCCCGUGGUGUGGAAGGGAAGAAGUCCAAGAUUCGUGUAAAGUCAAAAACUAAAAGGGAUGGGGGAAUGGAGAAGGGGGUAGGUGGUGAAAAUAAUUUAAGAAAAGAAAUGAGGAAUUCAAACAAAGCUUGAAAAAGUGUUUUCGCACGUUCCUUUGGCUGCUGAAACCACAACUUCCACGCCGAUCCCCCAAACUGCAUUUGAUGCCACCCAGGCCAGCAGCGCCUGCUGCAGUCAUGAUUGAAGGCAGCCUUUAAGCUUCCCUGACAAUGCAUUUUUCUUGGAGAUAAAAAAUGAAUGCUGCCAGCAUGCAAAUCUCUCUAAAUUAGGCAGGGCCCAGCUUACUGGAGCUGUGAUGUUUUGUGAUGACAAUCAUUAACUUUAGCAGAAGAAAAAAGGAUGCAGGAAAAUCGUCUGAGCCACCUCCCGUCCCAGCUGGGAGUCCCUGCUCGGGGAAGCUGUGAGAUUCGGCAGGCUGGCAUCUGAAAUUACCUGCAAGUGCAGAAGGGCAACAGAAAAAUGAGCUGUGGCCUGUUUCAUUGCGAUCAAUAAGUCAGCCAGAGGCAAAUCACUUGGUCUUUCUGCAGCUUUCUGCACCUGGAAGAGCUGGCAUUAGUGGGGCUCUCCCCUUUCUAUUGGUGGACUUAGUGCUGCUAUAAAAGCCAGACUCCCAGUUCAAGACUCAGAAUACUGAUUUUCUGCAGAGCAUGUACAGCCAAGUCCUGAAGCAGACCGUGAAAAGAAAAGUUGAUGGCAUUUGGGUGUUUUAUUGACCAUUUACCUUCCCCACUCAUUUUGAGUGGAACCUGGACAGAACCUCCCCGAUGUCCCCUUCAGGAGGGGUGAGAGCUGACCAACCUGUGCCAAAACUUGCCUUUGCUUCUGACUCACCCUGGGGAAGAUUUAGCAGGAAUGGUUAAAGUGGUUGUAGUUCCUGGUUUGUGCUCUGGCAGAGACCAACAACCCGCUGAAGAACAGCUGAACUGGACACACCCUAACCCAACUCCUCAACCUCCCCACUGAAGUGGGCUGUAUGUUCUCCUUCGUGCACUGGGCUGGAGUAACAUACUAUGGUCGUCUUGAGCUAUCUGUGCUUCCUCUUUACCCUGCUU